UACGAAGGGGGCGAGCGUUGUUCGGAAUUACUGGGCGUAAAGGGCGCGUAGGCGGCCGAUCAAGUCAGAUGUGAAAGUCCUGGGCUUAACCUGGGGACUGCAUUUGAUACUGAUUGGCUUGAAUGCAGGAGAGGAUAGCGGAAUUCCCAGUGUAGAGGUGAAAUUCGUAGAUAUUCGGAAGAACACCAGUGGCGAAGGCGACUUACUGGACACAUAUUGACGCUGAGGUGCGAAAGCGUGGGGAGCAAACAGG
rnacentral:rRNA from 1 species